rnacentral:rRNA from 1 species
AGGACGAACGCUGGCGGCGUGCUUAACACAUGCAAGUCGAGCGGAAAGGCCCUUCGGGGUACUCGAGCGGCGAACGGGUGAGUAACACGUGAGCAAUCUGCCCUUAGCUUCGGGAUAGCCCCGGGAAACCGGGAUUAAUACCGAAUAUGACCUCGGCCGACAUCGGCUUUGGUGGAAAGUUUUUCGGCUAGGGAUGAACUCGCGGCCUAUCAGCUUGUUGGUGGGGUAAUGGCCUACCAAGGCGACGACGGGUAGCCGGCCUGAGAGGGCGACCGGCCACACUGGGACUGAGACACGGCCCAGACUCCUACGGGAGGCAGCAGUGGGGAAUAUUGCGCAAUGGGCGAAAGCCUGACGCAGCGACGCCGCGUGGGGGAUGAAGGCCCUCGGGUCGUAAACUGCUUUUAUAAGUGAAGAAUAUGACGGUAACUUAUGAAUAAGCACCGGCUAACUACGUGCCAGCAGCCGC